CCUGUCUUUGCUAUCUGUCCCUGUGCCGGAGCUGCCGAUAACUGGGAAUUGCAGAGUUUGCAGGGUCGUGCCCCUGCCACAGCCGUCCCACACGCCACGCACUGCAACACCCACGGAAGGCGGCCCGCCAAGUUCAUGCUGAAGCACACCAAGAUCGUCCUCGUCACCGUCUGAUCCUGUUCAGGCUCAGCAACCAGCUGGUGGUGGCUUUCAAGGAGGACAACACAGUGGCCUUCAAGCACCUGUUCCCCAAGGGCUACAAAGAUGGCACCAAUGACACCCAGGCCAUCUACACCCGUGGGGACUUCCUGAAGCACCUGGCCUUUGUCCUCAGGAAGGUGGUAUGGGGACACUGGAGGGGCUGGGCACAUUGGGAGGGGUGGGGAACAUUGUGGGUCCUCCUGGAGCAUGUGCCCUAAGCCCUUGAGAAAGUGGCACAGGGACACUGGGGUGGCUGGGGACACCAGGAGGAACUGGGGACAUCGGGAUCUCCUGGAGCACCUAGUCUAUGCCCUCAAGAAGGUGGCACAGGGACACCGGAAGGGGUUGUGGACAUCAGGGGAGGGUUGAGAGACAUCAGGAAGGUUGCAGACACCAGGAAAAGUUUGGGAACAUGGGGGUUAUUUGGAGCCAUCAAGGUGCCACCCACAGUGCUCCUGUCCCUGUCCCCACAGUACCUGGCUGUCCUCCAUGAGACCUUUGGCCACCACACCUACACCUGGGGACAUGGAGAUGUUUCUGGAACACUGAGAUGUUUUGGGGUCAUGGCGAUGUUUUGGGGCCAUGGCGAUGUUUUGGGGCCAUGGGGUGGUUUGGGGCCACCAAGGUACCCCAGGGCCACCUCCAGCCUUGGUGUCCCUGUCCCUUGGUGUCUCUGUUCCUGUAGUACCCAAUGGGACCCUGGGCCACUAUGCCUAUGGUGGCACUGAGGGUGGCACCAGGCUCCGGCUGUGCCAGCGCUUCUUCCGCAGGGUGGACAUCAACCCCAGCAACAACACCUUUGACAUCAGCCCCAGCAUCAUCACUGGUGGGGACCCUUGGAGUUUGAGGUUUGGGAUUUGUGGUGUGGGGCACUGGGUUUGGGGUUUGGAGUUUAUGGUUUACAUUUCAAGUUUGGGAGUUGUGGCUUGCGGUUUGGGUUUGUGGUUUGGAUUUGGGUUGGUCGCAUGUCCUGGUUUAGGGCAAAUUUUGGGAGAAAACCUCCAGAAGGAGCCCCGAGAAAGCAAACCCCCUCAGCCUCUCCCCCCUCCUGGUUCGGGAAGAAUUUCCUCGGAGAGAAGUGGAAAGAAAACUGUUUAUUUAAAAGGCAAAGCACUCCCCAGCUAAAAAAAAUGAAUAACACUAGAUGACAAAACUCUUUCACCGCUCUGAAGAGAUGACAAAUCCAGACAGUCUCUCCUGGGAGUGGUCGCUCUGUUAUCAGUCCCUCCGGUGCUGAGAAUGGCUGCUGCAGGCCACAAAGUGCAAACUCUCAGUGUUUUCCAGGUCCCAGUCCAGAGCAGGUUUGAAUGGUUCCAAGAAAAGGGAAAGAAAAACAGUCCAGGGGAAAAUUCAGACUGCCCAGCUAAACUAACUAACAAGCCAAAAGCAAAAGCAAUCCAAGGAUUGCUCCCACACAAUAUGUGUCAGGUCAGAAAAUAGUUGCUGGAUUCUAUCUGCCCAGGGCAGCAUGUAAUCUGCACUUUGAACCCUAGGUCUAAGUAUUUUCCUUCCCCUGUAAAAGUGUUUCAAUCAUCUUUAAAGAGCUCGUCCACUGAAAUUUGGAUACCACCUUCAGUACUGAAAACAUCCAAGGAUUGCUCCCACACAAAAUGUGGACAGACAGAUCUUGCUGGUCUUUACCUCCAAUGGACAGAGUUUGUGAAAUAAAAUGAGAGUGCUUUACCAUGGGAAGGAAAGCAUGUAGGCCCAGUGGUUUAGGUGCAGAUUACAGGCUGCCCUAGGCGGGUAGAGAUCAGUGAAAGCUUUCUGAUCUGGCAGCUUUUGUAUGAGAGUUAUCUUUGGGCAUAUAUAAUAUUGGAGGUGGUAUCCACAGUUGAAUAAUGGGCUUCUGGAUGAGAAUGAGAGGUUUUUUCCAUAGGAAGGAAAGCGUGUAGCCCCAGUGUUUGUGGUGUUGAUGAGAGGCUGCACAGGGGAGCCAGGGAACGCCAGCCAAGACCUCUCUAUCGUGGCACCUUUUUGGUAGGAGCAGUCCUUGGACAUAAUACUGGUAGUGUUACCUGAUUUGGGUAAUGGGUAAAAUCCCUGGUUAUAUUCAAUUAAUUGCACUUAACAACUGAAAAGCAUGUGUGAUGUAGAAUGCAUGUACUAAGUUACCAUAGUUGUUAGCUUAAAUAAAAGAAGCAACUCUACCCUGUGGGUUGAACUUGUUAAUGUGUGAACCAAAUUUGCUUCCUGCUGGCAGUGAUUGCUCCUGCAAUAAGGAUAAACUGUCCUUCGAUGGUUAAGCUGAUCCUCAGUGAGGGUAUGCUGGAAUUGUUACUGAUACCAUUCCUGGAUAGAAAAAACAGUAUGAGUCUCAGCAGCGUUAGCCUGGACAGGUUACCCCUUAGUGGCUCAAGUUGUUUAAUCACUUAGAAUAAUGAAAAAAUUCCUUUUUCCCACUCA